AGCAGCUGGCAAAGGUCAUCUGACAUAAUAGCUGAUGAAUUCAAGCCCAGUGGAUUUCAUUUGCAAUUUUCAAUUUACGGAGGCCUCCAAGCCCCACGGUGAUAAAAGCUUUCCCCCUAUCGUGGCCUGUCACAAACAUCAAGAAACGGCACAAACCCCCAAGAAAGAGAAAAGAGAGAGCGGUGCAUCGUCCCAGUUACAGAUAAGAACAGUGAGCAGGGGGCUCCGGGAGGGAAGGUGGAGCUGUGUGUGUGGCUGCCUCCACCGUGAAGAACAAUCAAACGGCUGCCGGGGAGUAACAUCAUGUUUCUCUGCAGCUUUUGUGUGAAAAUUGCCUUUUAAUCUGCUACUUGACAUGCCCCCAAACAAAAAUGUGAGUGUCCAUAUGCAAAUAGAAAUGGGAGAUCCCCUGAUUGAUCUCCCAAGUCCAAAGGACUGAUACAACAACAAUGCCUAAGUGGGUUGAGACACAGCGCAUAUGGGAGGGGAAUCACCAAGAGGAAGAGAGCCAUUUUUUCUCUCUCUCCUUGUCAAGCUUCUGACAGGGGCUUUAGGCAGGACCAGGGACUGAAUCUUAUUCUCAGCAAUCAUUGGAACUUGAAGAGAGCAUGU
ensembl:lincRNA Gm29135 predicted gene 29135